GAUCAUGGCUCAGGAUGAACGCUAGCGAUAGGCCUAACACAUGCAAGUCGAGGGGCAGCACAUGAGUAGCAAUACGAUGGUGGCGACCGGCGCACGGGUGAGUAGCACGUAUGCAACCUACCUUUAACAGGGGAAUAACCCGUUGAAAAACGGACUAAUACUCCAUAACACAGGGGCCCCGCAUGGGAAUAUUUGUUAAAGAUUUAUCGGUUGAAGAUGGGCAUGCGUUCCAUUAGCUUAUUGGUGAGGUAACGGCUCACCAAGGCUACGAUGGAUAGGGGAACUGAGAGGUUUAUCCCCCACACUGGAACUGAGACACGGUCCAGACUCCUACGGGAGGCAGCAGUGAGGAAUAUUGGUCAAUGGAGGCAACUCUGAACCAGCCAAGUCGCGUGAAGGAUGAAGGUCUUAUGGAUUGUAAACUUCUUUUGCAAGGGAAUAAAGUGGGGGACGUGUCCUCCUUUGCAUGUACCUUGCGAAUAAGGAUCGGCUAACUCCGUGCCAGCCGCCGC
rnacentral:rRNA from 1 species